CGUGCAGCUCGUCGAUUGGGCGACGGGCGGCCCGCGCCCGCCGGGGCUGGGCGCGGCCUGAUGGCGCAGCUGCUCCGCCGCGGCCUGCUCGCC
rnacentral:tRNA from 3 species